UACGUAGGGUGCGAGCGUUAAUCGGAAUUACUGGGCGUAAAGUGUGCGCAGGCGGCAGAGCAAGUCGAGUGUGAAAGCCCCGGGCUUAACUUGGGAAUUGCGCUCGAAACUACUUUGCUGGAGUGUGGCAGAGGAAGGUGGAAUUCCACGUGUAGCGGUGAAAUGCGUAGAGAUGUGGAGGAACACCAAUGGCGAAGGCAGCCUUCUGGGCCAACACUGACGCUCAGGUGCGAAAGCGUGGGGAGCAAACAGG
rnacentral:rRNA from 1 species